UAAUUAGAUUUUUUUGGGUUAAUAUACAACAGGCUUAUCGCUCUUUACAUUAAAAAUUCAUUCUCCAUUCACCGCCUAUGAAAAUCUUUGCUGUGAAAAUCUCUGUGCCUAGAGAUCUGAGCUGCUAGAAUUCCUGGGUUCUAAUUCCUGGCCCAUUGAAGUCAAUGGAAAUUUUGCCAUUGACUUUAGUGGAGCCAGGAUUUCACCCACAGCCAUUAACUUGCUCCAUGACCUUGUAAAAGUCACAUUAACAUCUUGGUGCCUCAGUUUAUCCAUUUGAAAAGUUAACGAAAUAUUUGCCUCCCUCCCAAAAAUGCAGCAUGCAUGAAGGUUCUAUUCAAGUACAAAAUGAUCAUCAUCAUGAUUAUUCUUUUAAUUAUUAUUAUGGAUUGAUAGCUCCCAUGCUUUGGGCUUCUGAAUUAAAUAGCGGUUAAUACCCAACUAUCAAAUGCUCACAGUGAUUCUUUUCUUUGUAACUCAGUUAACAGGUUACCAAACCCUCAUUUUUCAAAUCCAAAAUUGUGUGUUGCGUUGGUCGUCCAUUGCUGAUGCUGAUGAUGAUCUUGUUGCAAUUCUCAUCUAUGGCUAUGCAUGUGACUCGGAAUCCUGAUGCACAGUUGGCCACACUGAGGGUAUGGAAAGUCCAUAUCUAUGAUGUUUGAUGAUGCAACUCACGGCGUCCAUGUGCAGCCUGGAGACAAUUUCGUCGAUCCCGCUCAAACCUCUUACAUACUGAUCUUGUCAGAGACCACCAAUUUUCUGUACAGAUUACGGGGGGCUGUGCGUCUGAAAGAUUAGAAACCAAAAAUAGAAGAGACUGCUGUGGUUUGCAAAGCAGUGCUUGAUCCAGUGAGGCAUAGUGGUUCAGUUCUCUGAGUAUGUCAUGGAAGCUUGUCAAGAUCUUGAUAGCAAGACUGAUGGUGCUCUUGCGACCAAAUGUGACACUCUGUGCAGCAUUCAGGAGAGUGGAAAGUUGAUGAAGGAUACGUUUACAGAGACAACUGUGCCAAGUGCUGGAGAGCCAGGCUAAGGAGGCAGAUGCUACUUCGCUAAUGAUUGUUUUGAAAACAAGCAGCACCCUGAUGGCACCUUCCCAAGGGGGAAACGGAAGAGAGCUUGAAUUUCCCUACCUCUGAGUAAGUAAACUAUACACCCCUGUCAGCAAUCACAGCAUUCAAUGCACUUGAAGAAGAUUUGAUAUGGAAUGCAUUUGUGUACAAGCACAACACACACAUACACACACAGGGCCAAAAUUCCAUGUACAUCACUUACAAAUCAGAUUAAUUUUUGUGCAUUUAAGAACUUCAAUCAGCUAACUAAGGCAAUCAGGCUUUGGCUCAGUCUACUAAAUGAAUUACUGUACAUGUACAAUAGGCAUUCAGAGACGAUGUCUAAUAGACAAAAUUUGGGUGUAAGGUUUAUUUGCAUGAGUUUAAAAAGGAUCUGAUCUUAUAACUCAAAGAUGAUCUCACAAGCCAUCUGUGGCAUGGCUUCCUUCUGCAACUCCUAACAUAUGCAAAUAAAGACUGCCUCCAGACUUUACCCACUCUGUACUAUUUGUACAAAGUUUUGUUUGUUUACUUUUAACAAACUAUUUUCUUUGUUGUUCUCACAGUUAAAAAAACAUAUUCUGUAAUGGUCCUCAGUAAACCUUGUGUGACUGUCUGUUCAUUUUA